rnacentral:lncRNA from 1 species
UGAUGCCUCUAACCUGGGAUUGGCCUGUGUGUGUGUUUGUACAUAGAAUAUUUAUUUUUAUACAGUUUUCACUUUUUGAAAAUGCCCGAAGUAUGAUGCAUCUUACAGAUUAUUUUUUAAAAAAGGAAAACCUGCAUAUUUUGUACAGAAAAUACCAACCUCUUCCCUUUUGUUUACAAGAUGUUUUGCAUACGUCUAAGACUCUAAUACACUUUUCAUUUGGCCAGAGUCCAUGGUUAGUCGCCAAGAAGUGAAGCCAGGCAGCCCAAGCCUUGGGAAAAGCGUUUUACCCUGGAGGAAGGAGAAGACGGGAGCUGCCUCUGGACAGAGGGUCGCGGGCCGAACCCUUCCGGGGGGUCUGGCUUGAGGGUGAUCAGAGGGUGACCGCAGGAGACCGAGAGACACCUGCCCUCACCCUGCCUGUCUCCUCCAUCUCUUUGCUGGGCUUUCUGCCGCGGCCCUGCAGCUAGCGCCCUCUGCUGGCAGCUAGAGCCCUCUGACGUUGCCGCGCUGCAAGGGUGCUGGGAUGCCAUUUAGGCGGUGAAGAACUGUGAUCUUUGAGCGACCUCUCUGCAAAGUGGCUGCCGGCAUGGUCACCCUCUGACCUUGAAAGCCUCCCCAGGAGGCUGUGGCCAGAGACUGGUCACCUUUCCCAGCUCCUUCUCAACAGAUUUCCUUUAACUUCCUUUGGUGCUGCCACCAUGAACCUUUUAACUUCCUGGGCUCUUUCAAAUGUUGUAAGCUGAUCAACAUGUCAAGCAAGCUGCAAAAGCAAAGCGCGUGUGUCUUCAAGAGAAUAUGGCACAACAGUGUCGUAGAGGACAGAAGCCCAUGAGCACGACUAGGCGAUGAGCUCGGACAUCUGGGCUGGCCCUCAGAGCCGAGGGCCUCACGUCUCUCGUGUGCAGUCCUGGGAUGAUGGAGAUAGGCAGCAAGCUACCUGCUUCCAAGAGCAUCUGGAAUAAGCCUUCUUCCUUUAGGCUGAAGGGACAGUGCCUGGGAUGUACUCACCACUGCCUUUCUUCUUCCUUGGCCACCAUACGCAGAGGCUCAGUGGGCGCCCCUGGGUUUUUACAGCCAAAUUAACCAGCCAUCCAAUGCUCCUUCCAUCC